GACCCUAGGAGUUGAACAUUCCCAUCUCUUCUGGCUGAAGUCUGCAUUUAGGAAAUACAUAAAAGCCUUUUCUGUCCUGGGGACAACCUCCUGGCAAGGCUGGUGUUUGCCUCUGAAGAGAGAUCAUUGCUGCUGUCCCUGCACCCUUCCAUGAGGGGUUUGAAGACAGAAGGCCACCAGACCUCCCUUCACCUGCUCCAGGCUCAAGAAAUCCACCUUUCCAACCUGUGUUAUGUGUCCCACACCUUCCUGGGCCUCAGCACUGAGCUCUCUCCACUUUGUCAGUGUUGUGCUUGUUCUUGGGGCCCCCCAAAUUGCACAGAGUUAAUUCAGAAGUGUCCCAACAAGUGCCAUAUAGAGGGGUACAAUUCAUUCUCUCUCCUGAUGCUCUCCAGUCUUCCUCAAUCGCAUCUGUGGAGUCUCUUGGGAGCCACAAGUGCUGCAUGAGGACCAUGAUGGGACCUUGGCACACACCACUCAGAAGCCCCUUGCCUGAGGAAGGGCACCAGGGAUGGUUUGCUUUUAACCAGUUCAGCAUUAAUGAGUCUCAACAUGUUUCUCUAACUGGAAAAACAUGAGAAGCCUUGCAGCAGUAAGUCCUAUGUUCAUCCCAUUUUGAAAAGCCAAGCCUAACGAGCAGGACACGGAGUGGGAUGGAAACACUGACAGCUUUGCUUUGCUUUGCCAUUUAAUAGCAAAAAAUCCAGCACACCCUA